UGUAUGUAAGUGAGCAAGUAAUAAUUAUAAUAAUUUUCAAAUAAUAAAUUGAUUUAUUAGUCAACUAAAAGUACCCUUCUUGCAUAGAUAUUUAUGAACGUGGACAACGACGCCAUUUUAUAGCUCUGUCUCUUUUAAAUUAAUCAUAAAAAUGUAAGCAAUUUCAUUUAUCAAUAUUUGCAAAUAUUCUUUGUAGAUAAGAUAAUGUCACAAAUAGUAUUUAUAAAAAGGUGCUUGGGUGUGUUGUUUGUUAAUAAUUCUACUGUAAACAUAUUGUUUUUAAAAAUUAUCCACCUUCGUACACCCCUUUAAAAUAAUAAAGAUGCAUCCUGGACACGGGCCCCGGCAUCCUCGUCCACCUCAUCAUCCUCACCCACCACCUCAUCAUUCUCACCCACCACCUCAUCAUCCUCACCCACCACCUCAUCGUGGUAUUAUAGGCGAGAUUAUACACGAUAUUUUGCAUCCCCACCACGGUCCACCACCACCCCCUGGACAUGGACCUCCUCCACCACCACCUUAUACUAGAUGGUCUGGCCCACCACCUCCUUGUGGACACGGAGGAUACUUUCAUGGAUGCGAUCAUUGUCACCGCAGACAUCACAAUGGACAUUUUUAAAUAGUACAUUUUCAUAUGUUUUAUAACUAUCUAUUUUAAGAGCUGAUUUUUUGGUUUAGAAUUUUUUAAAUUUCUUUGUUUUUGCUUUUUUUUUAAAUAAUGUUAAUGAAGAAUAAAUUUUCUCAACAAUUG